rnacentral:snRNA from 1 species
AAAUGCUGCAGAAGGAUAUGACAUAGGUCACCCCAUGAUCACCAGCAUUGAUUUGGCUAAUCUGGCUGGCUAGGCAGGUGUCCCCUUCCUCUCUCACUGCUCCAUGUGCAUCCUUCCCAAAGUUGCACGCUCGGAUGAAGAGGACAAAGUCUGCCUAAUAAAAGAGGACUGUUCUUUGGUCAAGGGUAUAUGAGUAUCUGUGCUCCCCUGCUACAACCUCCAAACAAGCUCUCAAAUGCUGCCGAGAAACAGACCUAUGACAAUGGGUGAAAAAAGUGUCUCACUUUU